UAGAAAAGCCCAGAUCUAUAGCUGUUC
rnacentral:piRNA from 1 species